CAGCUUUGUCACAGAACAAAACUGGGACUCACUAGAGGUUUUCGAUGGUGGGGACAACACUGUCACCAUGUUGGGAAGCUUUUCAGGAACCACAGUCCCUGCAUUGCUGAACAGCACUUCAAACCAACUUUACCUGCAUUUCUUUUCUGACAUUAGUGUAUCUGCUGCUGGCUUCCAUUUAGAAUAUAAAACUGUUGGUCUCUCUAG